UAUUCUGUCUUCAUUGACAUGAUGCAUUUUGUACAGUACAGACCUGAAACCACUGCAGCUUGCUGUGUGCACGCUUAGCUGCUUUGCUGAAUGAGGCUGGGAAUGUUAUGUCAUUAAGUCGUCCCCAUUUGAGGUAGAUUUUGCUUUUCUCCACCUGCAUCCUUUGGCUUCAGGCUUAUGAGAUAUGUAGUAUCAGACUUUAAAAAAGGAAUUUGCAUGUGACUUUUCUUGGGAACAGAAGAUGCAAGAAUUACUUUGUAUAAUAUUUAAGUGAUGAAACCAAGAUUAAUUUCUGUAUCCUAAAGCAAAUCACGAGUGUUGUUUUUAUAGCAGGAGCUAUAAACUACAAAACAAAACUACUUCUUUGUAGCAAAGAGAACUAUAAGUAAGCAAUGGACAACAAUGGUUACAAAAGAGGAAAAAAAAGGUCAGCAAAACAAGAAGCAAACUUCUGUCUAGGGUGAGGAAAGAAGCGUAAAGUGGUAGUCUCUAAAAUAAAAAGAAUGUCAGCUGUGCUGCUGCAGUAGCCUCAAAAGACAACAUGCAAGUGCUUGGCAGGAGGUGAGAGGAGCCAAGCUGCAGUGGUGGCUAGCGGAGAGAAGAAGACACGGAUAACAGCAUGAAUCACUGAUGAGAUGUGAUUUAUAAAAGCCUUCGAUACCGUCAGCUGGGGCCGAAGGCUCUCAGAGCAAUGCCGGACUGGCCCGCCUGGUGGCAAACUGCUUUCACUGGAAGUGCCUCUCCGUUUAGGAGGUUUGGGAACGACAAACGUGCUCACUGGGACUUCAGACUUGUAACUCUAGAGUGACUCAGCUGACCUGGGUGAACAUCCACUGGAACCAUGCUAGCUGGAAACCAGCCUGGGUGUGCCCUCUCGCUCCUACCACCAGGGAACUUCUUUUGCUGUGCUGUAGCAAUGGGAGGUGGAGACACCUCGAGGAGAACGUCGAAACAGACAACAGCAAUUACAGUCAAUAACAUCUAUGACUUGAGAAAAUCUUGCCUCAAUUACAGAAACCUCAGGAGGACUGUCCACCUUUCAAAUCUGUUUUGAUGUGUUUUAAAUGCAUGAUAUGGAGCACAGCCACUCUCAGUAGGUUGCGGAAAGAGGACAUAAAAUCAUAAUGUGUCUUCGGGGGGGUUUGGCUGCCUGUGUUCAAGGUCUGCCCUGAUACGGUGGAGUGUAACCUGGCAUCAGAGUGCUGUGAAAAGAGCUGUGUGCCAAAGAGCUGAGAGAAGCCUGCUGGGGCCUUCCCACUUCCCUUGGGAGCCACGGCACAGAACUGCUCUUGUCCUCAGUCCUCAUCUGGGGCAGGCCGUAGGGAUGUCCGUGUCUGGCUUUGGACCUUGCUCCUGACCCUGACUUGACUUUCUGGUUUGGCCUCAGACCUGGCUCAUCCCUACAGGCUUGUCUGACGGUCACUGGGCUCCUGGCAAAUGUGGUUGCUGUCACUGGACCUGCUCUGCUCUUCUUGCGUGGUCACUGUGGCACUGUGCCCCUUUACACUGAGGUCCUUUCCCUGUGUCCCUCACUCAGCCCGGCCCGCCUCCACUCCUCGUGCUCCCCAGGCUCCUCUGCCGCUGCUGUGCUGCCCUGCUCCCGGCAUUGGCCGCAGCCUUUUAGACACAGCAUCUCCAUCCGUCUGAGAAGUCAGAGAGUAAAGGGGCAGUGAUACGAGAGACAGUGUGGGAUCAUGCUGGUUUAUUGCUAUGACAAAUAAGAAGGAUGUGGCAUUAGCUUUGCCUCCCUUCAUUUCCAACUUCCUGAAAAGACAAACUGAAAAUUGGGUCUGUUGGACUCGGACUGCCAAGAAAACAGCCGGCAGGAGGAGCUCUCUAGACGUUUCGCCGGAUCAUUUUCGGACAGUCAUAGCUGCAUGUUUCAAGGGCAUCACUUUAGAUCUACUUUCUUGGGACUUCCUUGCAGACAAACCAGCAGCAACAGAAGACAGAGGCAAGUUCCUGGUAUUGCAGCUGAGCAGCUCCAGUGAAUUUUUUUUUUUUUUGAGACUUCUCAGAUUCCUUUUCCUACCAUGAUAUCUUUCUCUGUCGCUGUUUCAGAAAGUGUUUCAGAAGUGUUCCUGAAGAUGUUAGGGAUUCUUUCUGGUCUCUGGAAGGUGACAAGUGUUUUAUCUCUCCAGAAAGUUAGUGUAAGAUUUUUAUGGACAGCAUCCUAACUGCAGAGUAAAGAAUUCCAAAGCAAUGCUUGUCUUUGCAUAGAAAGAUAUCCUGCUGGAUUCCUCAUGACCUCUGAGGGGACCUGUAACCAAAGAAGCUCUGAAACAUAUCAAUACCACUCUGAGUAUUGGCUUAACAAAGUUAUUCAAAUAGUUCUGCCUCCUUGUGUACAGUUCAUCUUUUUCUUCUGUAAGAAGCAGGUACAGAGGACGGUAGUCACUCUUUUGCACAGCACUGUAUUCUCAUCAGUUAGGUGCAAAGUAUCACCCUGCUUCUUAAGGCCAAUCUUGCAACCCUAAAUUGCCUGGGCCCCAUGGCUGUGCCUCUGCACUACCUUUAAAAAAGAAUUAAGAUUAUUUUUUUAAUGUGGUGAAUUCUCUACUUUUGUAAGUCUGGCCCUCAUUUAGUUAUCUAAGUGGGAACUUGAUGCCUUCUGGUCUUGAAUGUUGCUGUAAUAAUUAUUUUGAUUCUGAA